UUGGAAGAGAACUUCUCUUGCAGCCCUUGAUUUUGUCGUUCGUCGGCAUUCCUUUGCCUCUCGGCUCUCAAGACAGAGGAAGGCCACCCAUUCUCCCUGACCCAUAUCAACAUCUAUCCUCGGAAGACUGGUAGUCGGUAAUCUCGGGGACAUUUACGGUUUCAUGCGAUGGCUUUCCCGAUCCCUCGAAGGCAACAAGAGAUUGAGAGUGUAAUAUCUCUGUUUAGCCUUCCAGAUCAUCCAGUUUUUCAUGGUUCUACUCUCUUUGGGCUUGCAAUUAUGGGUCCUUCUUUGGCUUUGCAUGUGUUUCAAGGGUUAUAAUAAUGGGGAAUCCUUUUCAUUGACAUGGCUCCCAUUGUGCUUCCCGUGGAUCUCUUCAUCUUCCCCAGAACCGGUUCACCAGCGAUUGCAGCACUGCAUCUUGUCAGGCGGCUUCAUCUUGUUCGGUGCUCCCAGGCUGCUUAGAAUUAUGUUUGGUUUGGGUUGUGGGCCUUUGAGCUCUUUUUAGGAGGUUUAGUGGACCUUCUUCUAUAUGUAUUUUUGGAUCCUUGUUGGAUCCUUUGACUUGUAUUGGAACCAGACUUGCUAGUUGUUGCUCCAUCAAUGAAAUGUUGGCUUCCGAAAAAAAAAAAAAAAGGUAAACAGUUGAAUAUUGCAAAAAUUUAUGUUUGUGAAUAAUUAAAUUUCAUAAAUUUUAUACGUAAA